AACGAACGCUGGAGGCGUGCCUAACACAUGCAAGUCGAGCGCGAAAAUCACUUCGGUGGUGAGUAGAGCGGCGCACGGGUGAGUAAUACGUGGGUAAUCUGCCCUUAGGCCUGGAAUAACCCGGGGAAACCCGGGCUAAUACCGGAUAAGACCACAGAGCUUCUGCUUGGUGGUAAAAGGGGGGGCCCUCUUCGGAGGCCUCUCACCAAAGGAUGAGCCCGCGGUCCAUCAGCUAGUUGGUGAGGUAAUGGCUCACCAAGGCUAAGACGGAUAGCUGGUCUGAGAGGAUGAUCUGCCACACUGGAACUGAGACACGGUCCAGACUCCUACGGGAGGCAGCAGUGGGGAAUAUUGCGCAAUGGGCGAAAGCCUGACGCAGCAACGCCGUGUGAGUGAUGAAGGUCUUCGGAUCGUAAAGCUCUGUCGGCAGGAACGAAGGGUUCUUUUCUUAAUAAGAGAGGAAUUUGACGGUACCUGCAAAGGAAGCACCGGCUAACUCUGUGCCAGCCGCCGCCGCGGUAA
rnacentral:rRNA from 1 species